AGAGUUUGAUCAUGGCUCAGAACGAACGCUGGCGGCAUGCCUUAUACAUGCAAGUCGAACGAGAAAGUCACUUCGGUGGCGAGUAGAGUGGCGCACGGGUGAGUAACGCGUAGAUAAUCUACCCUUCAGUCUGGGACAACUCUUGGAAACGAGAGCUAAUACCGGAUAAAACCUUCGGGUUGAAAGCUUUAGUGCUGGAGGACGAGUCUGCGUACCAUUAGCUUGUUGGUGGGGUAAAAGCCUACCAAGGCGACGAUGGUUAGCGGGUCUGAGAGGACGAUCCGCCACACUGGAACUGAGACACGGUCCAGACUCCUACGGGAGGCAGCAGUAGGGAAUAUUGGACAAUGGGGGCAACCCUGAUCCAGCAAUACCGCGUGUGUGAAGAAGGCCUGAGGGUUGUAAAGCACUUUCAAUUGUGAAGAAAAGUUAGCGGUUAAUAACCGUUAGCCUUGACGUAACUUAGAAG
rnacentral:rRNA from 1 species